ensembl:snRNA U6 U6 spliceosomal RNA
GUGUUAGAGGUUACCUUUGGCAGCACAUAUACUAAAAUUGUAACGAUAGAGAGAAGAUUGGCAUGGCCCCUGCACAAGGAUGACACGUAAAUUUGUGAAGCAUUCCAUAUUUUA